ACAAACUACUAAUUGGUGUAUUCUUACUACAUAAAAGAGUAAGAAUUGCCAGAAUUUUGGAAAUUAAAGAUCUAGAGUAGGGGGUUCAAUAUACUGCAGGGGGGUCAAAAUACCAUGGCAAAGUAAAAUUUUCAAAAUAACUUUUCCAGCAAGUUUAAUACAUACAAACUGCUUAUUUGUGUAUUCUAACUAUAUAAAAAAGUUA
rnacentral:lncRNA from 1 species